rnacentral:lncRNA from 1 species
CAAACCAGUGCCACCAACAGAACCCAGAGAAAUAGUUAAAUUUAGGAAUCCAAGCUCUCUUAGCUUGAGUGGAUGUGCACUCUUUUUUACUUUCAAUUUGCCCAUUAGACCUUACAGCCCCUAGGUGGUGGCUCUACUGCAUCUUCACCUUCACACCCAUCCCAACAAUUAAGUCAUUUCUACUUUUUCUCCGUCCCUUCUUCCUCCUUUAUCUCCUUCCUUAAUAACCUCAUAUUAAAGUUGCUCAUAGAGAAACAAAAAUAUAAGAUCACUUCUUAUGAAAAUAAAACCAACAAUCAUUCAAUAACCCCUGUUCAACAACCAUAUAGUAUGAAAAAGGCAAGAGAGAGACUGAACCGAAAGGGAUGGCUUAUGGCCAAUUCGCUCCUAACGAACCCUUAAAAAGAAGAUUCUGAAUUUAAAAAACCAUAAUCCGUAAUACAAAAUACAAACAAGUUCAAAAAUAAUAAAUCUUAAUGUCUUAUAAAAAGUUAUCGCAUUUGAAAAAGAAGAAACUCAAAAAUCAGAACAAUUCAUAUAUGAUACCAAAUGCAAGCAGGCUAAAAAAUAGUAAACCGAAAUUAAAAAUAUCUCUAUCUUAUAAAGAGAAUAUCACACAACAACCUAAGCACUCCUUCUGUGCUUGGUUGGCCAUCAGGGAUAAGUUGGGUACUAGAGAUAGGUUAAGUCGGUGGGAUAGGUCGAUUCCUUUAUCGUGUAUGCUGUGUGGAGGGAACUAUGAAUCUCGUGAUCAUUUGUUUUUUUCUUGUCCUUUUGGGUGGGAGAUUUGGUCGAGAAUCCUUUUUGUUAUGUCUUCUUCUCAUAGAAUAGGUUAUUGGGGGGUUGAGUUAUCUUGGAUUUGCAAUCAGGGUAUUGGGAAGAUUGUGAGGAAAAAAUUGUCGCGCCUUCUCUGGUGUGCUACAAUCUAUUUCAUUUGGCAGGAGCGAAAUCAUCGUCUUCAUGGUGGUGCUGUUCGGGAGCCUAUGGUUAUUUUCCAGCUCAUUCGGUCGUGUAUUAAAGCGCGUGCUGCUUCUUGGAACGAUGGAGUUCAUGGUCUUAUUUAAUGUGCUUUUCGUUUGCUUGUCCCCUGGCUGUGGGGUUUCUCUUCUCUUUUUUGUCUUUGUUGUCUUUAUCUUUUCUUCUUGUCCUUUUAAGGUUUGGUACACUAGUUGGUUUCUUUUGGUUUUGGUUCUUGUCCCCGUGAUGUGGGGUUGUUUUGGGUACUUUUGGGUUGUUUUGUCUAACUACUUGUUCUGUGAGUGUUGUUCGCUCUUGUGCCUUGACCUCAGGCUGUGAGGUCCACCUUGUUGUUGUAUAAUAUUAUCAUUACCUUUUAAAAAAAAAGAAUAUCACACAACAAAUGACAUAAAAAACAAAAGCAGAAAUUCAAAAUUUCAGAACAAUCCAUGCAAGCAACCUAAAAAAUUAACCUAAAUUAAAAAUGUCUCAUAAAAAGGCAUCAAAAAUCAAAAGAAAGCAUAAACUCAAAAUUUUCAUAACAAUCCAUAAUGCAAGCUAGCUAAAAGUUAUUAAACCUAAAUUAAAAAUGUCUCAUAGACAGACAUCACAGCAAAGGACCAAAAAACAAAAUAAAGCAUCAUCUCAAAAUUUCAUAACAAUCCAUAAUGCAAGCAAGCUAAAAGAUAAUAAAUCUAAAUUAAAAUCGUCGCCACAACAAAAGAUCAAAGAGGAAAAACAACCUCAAAUUUUUUUGAUAAUUUUGAAAAAACAACCUAAACAUCUAGAAGAAAAAGUCACACAAUUAUUUGAUAAUCAAAUAGUUCAAUUAGAUAACAGUCAAAACUAAAAGAAAAGUCAAGUUACCAAGAGACCCUACUCCAAAAUCAAAAUAAAUGAUGAAAAAGGAAAGGGGCAAGAAUAAUAUAUACAGAAAUCACACAUGCAAAUUUCCAAAAUAUUAAAGAAAAAUAAUAGAAAAACCUGACACGGAAAGCUGUUGGAUUCUUGUACCAGCAAAAGUUUCCUGCAUUCAAACCAACCAAGCACCCCUAAAAAACUAAACAUCAAGACAUGGAGGGUAAUAUCUAGCUGGAACAAGAAAAACGAAUUAUCUCCCUUACUCUUAAGACUAACUUACUGAGAUGAACCAAAGACGGAAAAUUGAAACACUUUCACCUGAUCAAUUGCAGAUACAUUUUUGGAGAAGUGGAAAGAGGAAAUGAGAAUGGCCCAAGCAUAGACAUGGUUCACAGUGAUACUAAAUUGAUACAGAAGCAUCCUUGCCCUCUUGUCACACAUACUCCCCCAGAACUUCCAUUCUUCUUACUUCGUUAUGGUUAUACAUUCCCCAGUAGAUUAACAUACUGAUGAAUGCCACCAACAGAACCCAGAGAAAACUUAGGAAGCCAAGCCCUCUUGGCUUGAAUGAAUUAAUGUGGACCCUUUUCUACUUCCAAUUGUUUCAUUAAACCUUGCAGCCACUUGAGUGUAAAUUUCACAUGUAAGUUUUGAACCUCUUGACCAAAUUAAAUAAUCAAUUUAUUGUUAUGCAGAAAAUCUUACAUGAACUGUGAACUCUAAAGAAAUAAUCAAUUCAUAUUUCUAUUUUUUUAUGUUGACAGUUAUAUGUUAGAAUUUCAAGAUUUAUUUUAUGAAGUAUUAAUUGUAAUAGAAAUUGCUGCUACUAUUUCUUCUUUAAAAAAAGAACUUGAAGGACAAAAAUUGAGAAAAAAAUAAACAGCAACAAUCAGUUUCAUUAUUACUUUUGGUCUUCAAUAAAAGGAAAGAAACAAAAAAUUGUUUACUAGCAACAAAUUUAUUUUAAAAGUUUUAUCAAAUACACUUUUAAUAGUAGUUGACAUUCAAUUAUUAAUAGAAAAAAAUUUAAAAUUUUUAUUACUAAUUACAAUACAAAUAUAAGACUAUAAUAGUAACAUGAAGGAAUUUUUAAAAGUGAGUAGUGACAAAACAUUUUAGAGAUGAAAUGAAAUUUUAUAGAUUUAACUUUUAAAAAAUAUGCAAAGAUGGAUAUUAUUUAAUUUUUAUAUACAUUUAUAGAAAUAUCUUAAUUAAAAGGACAUGAAAAGUAAUAGGGUAGGACGAGGGAGGGACUUUGGUUGUAGGAGGAGAAGCCACUUUCUUCACUAGAAAAAUGGUUGAAUGAUUGAGGAGAAGCUUAUUAAUUGCUUGUUAUGCUUCUCCUUCACUAGCCCUUGCUAAACCUAAGUAACCAAACACCCCCAAAAUAACCAACCAAACACCCCUAAAAAAACAACCAGACCUCCCUACAAAAACUUUAAAAUCAGGACAUGGAGGGUAAUAUCUAGCUGAAACAAGAAAAAUGAAUUAUCUCCCUUACUCUAAAGACUAACUAACUGAGAUGAAACUAAGACAGAAAAAUGAAACACUUUAACAUGAUCAAUUGCAUAUACAUUUUUGGAGUAGUGGAAAGUGGAAAUGAGAAUAGCCAAAGCGUAGAGAUGGUUGACACUGAAACCAAAUUGAUGCAGAAGCAUCCUUGCCCUCUUUGUCACAUAUACUCCCCAAAAACUUCCAUUCUUCUUACUAUGUUUAUAACUAUAGAUUCCCCUGUAGAUUAACAUACUGAUGAAUGCCACCAACAGACCCCAGAGCAGACUUAGGAAGCCAAGCCCUCUUGGCUUGAAUGAAUUAAUGUGAACCCUUUUCUACUUCCAAUUUUCUAAUUAUACCUUACAGCCACUGGAGUGUAAAUUUAACAUGUAAAUUUUGAACCUCUUGACCAAAUUAAAUAAUCAAUUUAUUUUUAUGCAGAAAAUCUUACAUGAACUGUGAACUCUGAAGAAAUAAUCAAUUCAUAUUUCUAUUUUUUUUAUUUUGACAAUUAUAUGUUAGAAUUUCAAGAUUUAUUUUAUGAAGUAUUAAUUAUAAUAGAAAUUGCUACUAUUAUUUCUUCUUUAAAAAAAGAAUUUGAAGGACAAAAAUUGAAAAAAAAAAACAGGAACAAUCAGCUGCAUUAUUAUUUUUGGUCUUCAAUAAAAAAAAAAAGAAACAAAAAUUUGUUUACUAGCAACAAAUUUAUUUUAAAAAUUUUAUCAAAUACACUUUUUCUAGUAGUUGACAUUCAUUUAUUAAUAGAAAAAAUUUUAAAUUUUCAUUAAUAAUUACAAUACAAAUAAAAGACUAUAAUAGUAACAUGAAGGAAAUUUUAAAAGUGACACAACAUUUUAGAGAUGAAAUUAAAUUUUAUAGAUUUAAUUGUUUAAAAAUAUGCAAAGAUGGAUUUUAUUUAAUUUCUAUAUACAUUUAUAUAAAUAUCUUAAUUAAAAGGACAUGAAAAGUAAUAGGGUAGACAUACCUGUUGACGAGGGACGGACUUUGGUUGCGGGAGGAGAAGCCUUUUUCUUCACUAGAAAAAUGGUUGAAUGAUUGAGGAGAUGCUUAUUACCUUGUUAUGCUUCUCCUUCAAUAUCCCUUGCUAAGCCUAACCAACCAAACACCCUUAAAAAAAAAUCGAACAACCCUAAAAGAAAACAACCAAACACCCCUAAAAAAACCAACUAAACUCCCUUUAAAAACUUAAAGAUCAGGACAUGGAGGGUAAUAUCUAGCUGAAACAAGAAAAAUGAAUUAGCUCCCUUAUUCUUUAGACCAACUGACUGAGAUGAAGCAAAGACAGAAAAUUCAAACACUUUUACCUGAUCAAUUGGAGAUACAUUUUUGGAGCAGUGGAAAGUGGAAAUGAGAAUGGCCAAAGCAUAGACAUGGUUGACACUGAUACUAAAUUGAUGCAGAAGCAUCCUUGCCCUCUUGUCACACAUACUCCCCAAGAAAUUCCAGUCUUCUUACUAUGUUAUAACUAUACAUUCCCCUGUAGAUUAACAUAUGGAUGAAUGCCACCAACAGAACCCAGAGCAAACUUAGGAAGCCAAGCCCUCUUGGCUUCAAUGAAUUAAUGUGGACCCUUUUCUACUUCCAGUUUUCUCAUUAAACCUUACUCUCAUUUUUGGAGCAGUGUAAAUUUCACAUGUAAAUUUUGAACCUCUUUGACCAAAUUAAAUAAUCAAUUUAUUCUCAUGCAGAAAAUCUUACAUGAACUGUUCACUCAAAAGAAAUAAUCAAAAGACAUCACAGCAAAGGACCAAAAAACAAAAUAAAGCAUAAUCUCAAAAUUUCAUAACAAUCCAUAAUACAAAAUGAUGCAGGAAGCUAAAAGAAAUAAAACUAAAUUAAAAAUGUCUCAAAAAUAGACAUCGCACAACAAAGAACCAAAGAAAAUACAACAGAAAAUGAAAAAGAACAUGAUGGAUUGUUAAAUCGCCAAAAUAAAUUUAUUGGGGACACAACUACAUUAAAAGAAAAAUAAAUUCCACAUUUGUUAAAAAAAAAAGAUAAAUUCAUAUUUUGUCACAGUUAUUAAAAACUAAGAAAACAUUAAAAAAAGAACAAUAGUGAAACUAAAGAUAACCAAUAAAUAAAGACUGCCACACAAUAGUUCAAUAAAAAACAAAGACUGUCACACAUUAAUAAAACUAAAAGAGUGGGAAAAAUGAAUAUAAACAUCUAGAAGAAAAGGUAACACAAUUAUUUGAUAAUCAAAUCGUUCAAUUAGAUAACAACCAAAACUAAAUGAAUGUAAUAUAAAAGAGAGGUGGGAUUGAACUUUUCAACCCUUGUAUAUGUGCGAAUAACAAAUAACCAAGAGACCCUCUCCAAAAUCAAAAUAAAUGAUGAUAAAGGAAAAUGGCAAGAAUAAUAUAUACAGAAAUCACACAUUCAAAAUUCCAACAUAUUAAAGAAAAAAAUAGAAAAACAUGACAGGGCAAGCUGUUCGAAUCGUGUACCAGCAAAUGUUUCGUGCAUUCAAACCAACCAAGCAUACCUAAAAACCUAAAAAUCAAUACAUGGAGGGAAACAAGAAUAACGAAUUAUAUCUCCCUUACUCUUAAGACUAACUAACUGAGAUGAACCGAAGACAGAAAAUUGAAACAGUUUUACCUGAUCAAUUGCAGAUACAUUU